GUGUCACGUGUCAAUUCAAACGAU
rnacentral:siRNA from 1 species